UACGUAGGGGGCAAGCGUUGUCCGGAAUCAUUGGGCGUAAAGCGCGUGUAGGCGGCUGAGUAAGUCUGCUCUGAAAGCCCGGGGCUCAACCCCGGGAGGCGGGUGGAUACUGCUCAGCUCGAGUCCGGAAGAGGCGAGUGGAAUUCCUGGUGUAGCGGUGAAAUGCGCAGAUAUCAGGAGGAACACCAAUGGCGAAGGCAGCUCGCUGGGACGGUACUGACGCUGAGACGCGAAAGCGUGGGGAGCGAACAGG
rnacentral:rRNA from 1 species